GCUGGCGUAGCUCAGUUGGUAGAGCAGCUGACUUGUAAUCAGCAGGUCGUUGGUUCAAUUCCGACCGCCAGCU
rfam:Ignavibacteria bacterium 13_1_40CM_2_61_4 13_1_40cm_2_scaffold_28463, whole genome shotgun sequence.